CCAGACAGACGGGCCUUGAUCCCGUAAAAUUUUAGUU
rnacentral:tRNA from 1 species